UCCCUGAUGGCUCAGGUGGUAAAGAAUCUGCCUUUAAUGCAGGAGACCCAGGAUCCAUCCCUGAUUUGGGAA
rfam:TPA: Bos taurus chromosome 25, whole genome shotgun sequence.